GCUGUGAAGCAGUGAGCUAGAAAACAUCUGCUACUGUAGCUAACAGCUGGUUGUCGUGGACUCAAAUGGCUCUAAUACUUUCUGCCGCCGAGAAAACCAGGAAACGACAUGUCAAAACAAAUAUCCACAUUUAAAGAAACACGGCAGAUCCAGUUUUUGGAGAAAAUCUUCAGAUGAACAGCAAUUGACUGUCAGUGUGGCUCUACCAGAGAGCUCCCGCCAGGAUACGAUGAGGCCAGCCUCUUUCUAAACAGCACAAUUCAACAGUGGAAGAGGGAUAUCUGUCACUUUGUCACGGACAAUGACAAUGACAAUGAAGGGGAGGCAGGACUGUGGCACAAGACUUGCAGAACUGAGUGGGAAAUAGAUGAAAGAAAUGCCAUGGUACGUCAGUCUGAUGAAUUCCUUCUGCUGGCCACGUCUGCUCACCUUCUGCUGGAUCUGCUGCACCAUGUGUGUGUGUGUGUGUGUGUUCGUUGUGUUGUCUAUGCAUGUGUUCAAGUGUGUGACAGUUAUACAUCUGUGAAAGUGAGUGAUGAGUUGCAUUUUUUGUGUCAUUUAUCAACCAUUCCUUGACGUGUGAAAUCAAUGGAAUGUGACCAAAAACAGCACAUCAAAUUAGACAAAUAUACAGAAAGCAU